rnacentral:rRNA from 1 species
UGCAUGAAGUCGGAAUUGCUAGUAAUCGCAGAUCAGCAUGCUGCGGUGAAUACGUUCCCGGGCCUUGUACACACCGCCCGUCACACCAUGGGAGUCGGUAACACCCGAAGUCGGUAGCCUAACCGUAAGGAGGGCGCCGCCGAAGGUGGGAUUGAUGACUGGGGUGAAGUCGUAACAAGGUAUC